AUGAGCGCUGGCUACAGGCUUAACACAUGCAAGUCGAGGGGAAACGACGGGGAAGCUUGCUUCCCCGGGCGUCGACCGGCGCACGGGUGAGUAACGCGUAUCCAACCUGCCUCUGACUGAGGGAUAACCCGUCGAAAGUCGGCCUAAUACCUCAUGGCAUCGUCUGCGGGCAUCCAACGACGAUUAAAGAUUUCAUCGGUCAGGGAUGGGGAUGCGUCUGAUUAGCUUGUUGGCGGGGUAACGGCCCACCAAGGCUACGAUCAGUAGGGGUUCUGAGAGGAAGGUCCCCCACAUGGGAACUGAGACACGGUCCAAACUCCUACGGGAGGCAGAAGUGAGGAAUAUUGGUCAAUGGGCGGGAGCCUGAACCAGCCAAGUAGCGUGCAGGAGGACGGCCCUAUGGGUUGUAAACUGCUUUUAUGCGGGGAUAAAGUGAGGGACGUGUCCUUCAUUGCAGGUACCGCAUGAAUAAGGACCGGCUAAUUCCGUG
rnacentral:rRNA from 1 species